rnacentral:rRNA from 1 species
CACUCCUGCGGGAGGCAGCAGUGGGGAAUUUUGGACCAUGGGCGAAAGCCUGAUCCAGCAAUGCCGCGUGAGUGAAGAAGGCCUUCGGGUUGUAAAGCUCUUUUGUCAGGGAAGACACGGUGAAAGCUAAUAUCUUUUGCUAAUGACGGUACCUGAAGAAUAAGCACCGGCUAACUACGUGCCAGCAGCCGCGGUAAUACGUAGGGUGCAAGCGUUAAUCGGAAUUACUGGGCGUAAAGCGUGCGCAGGCGGUUUUGUAAGUCUGAUGUGAAAUCCCCGGGCUCAACCUGGGAAUUGCAUUGGAGACUGCAAGGCUAGAAUCUGGCAGAGGGGGGUAGAAUUCCACGUGUAGCAGUGAAAUGCGUAGAUAUGUGGAGGAACACCGAUGGCGAAGGCAGCCCCCUGGGUCAAGAUUGACGCUCAUGCACGAAAGCGUGGGGAGCAAACAGGAUUAGAAACCCGUGUAGUCCCAUGA